AAACGUAGGAGGCGAGCGUUAUCCGGAUUUACUGGGCGUAAAGCGCGUGCAGGCGGCUGUGCAAGUUGGGUGUGAAAUCUCCCGGCUCAACUGGGAGGGGUCAUCCAAAACUGUGCGGCUUGAGGGCAGGAGAGGGAAGCGGAAUUCCCGGUGUAGCGGUAAUAUGCGCAGAUAUCGGGAGGAACACCAGUGGCGAAGGCGGCUUCCUGGCCUGUACCUGACGCUGAGACGCGAAAGCCAGGGGAGCGAACGGGAUUAGAUACCCCGGUAGUCCUGGCCGUAAACGAUGGAUACUAGGUGUGGGCGGCAUUGACCCCGCCUGUGCCGAAGCUAACGCGUUAAGUAUCCCGCCUGGGGAGUACGACCGCAAGGUUAAA
rnacentral:rRNA from 1 species